CUUCAAAAUUCCAAAGGAAAAUGACCCUCAACCUAGAGUUUCCUAUCUAGGCAAGUAUUAAUCAAGUGUAAGGGCAGAAUAAUGACACUUCCAGAUGAGAGGUAUACAAAUUUACCUUACCUGCACCCAUUUACAAGAAGCUAGUGAAGGUUGUGCUCUUUAAAACAUGAUGGAAUUUACCAAGAAAGAGGAGGACUUGGCUUAGGAAAGAGAAGAUCCAGUAGAGAAGGGGAGUGACAGGAAUCUGCAGGAAAUGAUGAAGGGCAAUCCCAGGAUGUUAGCUGCACACCAGAGAUGAGGAGACAGACUAGGACCCCUGCUCCAUUAGACCUCCAGGUCCCAAACACCAGGUGAGCCAGGGCCUUGGCCUGUCUUGCCCAUGGCUGAUGAAGUGUUGUACUCUCUAUCAAACCCUGCAGUCUGGGCCAGCUGAGGACUCUCCUUGGAACCCAAAGAAGCAGUUUGUUUCCACCUACUCCCAAGAGCUGAAGAUUAUAAGCCAGAAGCAAACAAAGGCAGGCAAGGAAAUUUGAGGUUGUUGCAUCUGGAAGUAAACAUGUAGCUACUUCUUCUAAUAAAACAGAGCUCUUAGGUGCUCUGACCCUGGAGGAGAGGGAUUUCACUGAGAUGAGAAGGAUGCGUGAUGGGAUCCAUGGGCACUGGAGGCUUAUAUUUCCCUCUCAUGCCAUGCUCAAGUGAUGGGAGGGCAGAGGCAUGAGAGGGUGCUAAGGGACUAAACGCCAUGGCCACAGGAGCUCUGGCCAAGGCCCCAGGAGUCAAGAAGUGCACAGAGGGCAUGGAUGCGUUGGAAAGGGGAGGUGCUGGCCUUUUAAAGAUCAUAUGGCUUGGACAAGGAACAUG
rnacentral:lncRNA from 10 species